GACAGAGGUGCCAAGCGUUAGGCGGAAUCACUGGGCUUAAAGCGCGUGUAGGUGGCGGCCUAAGUACCUUGUGAAAUCCUGCGGCUCAACCGCAGAACUGCUUGGUAUACUGGGUCGCUUGAGCCAUCCAGGGGCAACUGGAACAAGCGGUGGGGCGGUGAAAUGCGUAGAUAUCGCUUGGAACGCCAAAGGUGAAAACAGGUUGCUGGGGAUGAGCUGACACUGAGACGCGAAAGCCAGGGGAGCGAACGGG
rnacentral:rRNA from 1 species